UACGAGGAUCAUCGGGUUAGCAAUAAUUCGGUGGUCCUAGUGGCGCACGGGUGAGUAACACGUGGGUGACCUGCCCUUGAGCUCGGGAUAUCCCCUCGAAAGGGGGGCUAAUACCGGAUACGUUCCCCGGUUGAAAGAUCGGGGAGGAGAGGUGGCGCAAGCUGCCGCUCUUGGAGGGGCUCGCGGCCUAUCAGCUAGUUGGCGGGGUAACGGCCCACCAAGGCUAUGACGGGUAGCUGGUCUGAGAGGACGACCAGCCACACGGGGACUGAGACACGGCCCCGACUCCUACGGGAGGCAGCAGUGGGGAAUUUUCCGCAAUGGGCGAAAGCCUGACGGAGUGACGCCGCGUGUGGGACGAAGGCCUUCGGGUCGUAAACCACUGUCAGUGGGAAAGAUGGGUGUCGGCGCUGAUACCGCCGGCAUCUGACGGUACCUGCAUAGGAACCCCGGCCAACUCUGUGCCAGCAGCCGCGGUAAGACAGAGGGGGCAAGCGUUGCUCGGAAUUACUGGGCGUAAAGGGCGCGUAGGCGGGAUGGCAAGUCGGUCGUGAAAUCCCUCGGCUCAACCGAGAAACGUCGAUCGAUACUGCUGUUCUUGAGGAUUGCAGAGGAGACUGGAAUUCCCGGUGUAGCGGUGAAAUGUGUAAGAUCGGGAGGAACACCGGUGGCCAAGCCGCUCUCUGGGCAAUUCCUGACGCUGAGGCGCGAAAGCGUGGGGAGCAACGGUAUAGAUACCCCGGUAGUCCAGCUGUAACGAUGAGCACUAGUGUGGGGGGUCAGCCCUUCCGUGCCGCUCUAACGCAUUAAUGCUCCCCUGGGAGUCGGCCGCCAGGUGAACUCAAAGAUUGCGGGG
rnacentral:rRNA from 1 species